rnacentral:rRNA from 1 species
UGCGCAGGCGGUUGUGCAAGACAGAUGUGAAAUCCCCGGGCUUAACCUGGGAAUUGCAUUUGUGACUGCACGGCUAGAGUGUGUCAGAGGGGGUAGAAUUCCACGUGUAGCAGUGAAAUGCGUAGAUAUGUGGAGGAAUACCGAUGGCGAAGGCAGCCCCCUGGGAUAACACUGACGCUCAUGCACGAAAGCGUGGGGAGCAAACA